UACGUAGGGGGCAAGCGUUGUCCGGAAUCAUUGGGCGUAAAGAGCGUGUAGGCGGCUCGAUAAGUCUGCUGUGAAAGUCCAGGGCUCAACCCUGGAAGGCCGGUGGAAACUGUCGGGCUAGAGUCCGGAAGAGGCGAGUGGAAUUCCUGGUGUAGCGGUGAAAUGCGCAGAUAUCAGGAAGAACACCUAUGGCGAAGGCAGCUCUCUGGGACGGUACUGACGCUGAGACGCGAAAGCGUGGGGAGCGAACAGG
rnacentral:rRNA from 1 species